rnacentral:rRNA from 1 species
AACGAACGCUGGCGGCAUGCCUAACACAUGCAAGUCGAACGAGACCUUCGGGUCUAGUGGCGCACGGGUGCGUAACGCGUGGGAACCUGCCCUUAGGUUCGGAAUAACUCCCCGAAAGGGGUGCUAAUACCGGAUAAUGUCUUCGGACCAAAGAUUUAUCGCCUUUGGAUGGGCCCGCGUUGGAUUAGCUAGUUGGUAGGGUAAAAGCCUACCAAGGCGACGAUCCAUAGCUGGUCUGUGAGGAUGAUCAGCCACACUGGGACUGGGACACGGCCCAGACGCCUACGGGAGGCAGCAGUGGGGAAUAUUGGACAAUGGGCGAAAGCCUGAUCCAGCAAUGCCGCGUGAGUGAUGAAGGCCUUAGGGUUGUAAAGCUCUUUUACCCGGGAUGAUAAUGACAGUACCGGGAGAAUAAGCUCCGGCUAACUCCGUG